GCCAGUGUGGCUCAGUGGUUGAGUGUCAACCUAUGAAGUAGGAGGAGCUGGUUCGAUUCCAGGUCAGGGCA
rnacentral:tRNA from 1 species